rnacentral:rRNA from 1 species
UACGGGGGGAGCAAGCGUUGUUCGGAUUUACUGGGCGUAAAGGGCGCGUAGGCGGCCAGCACAAGUCAGUUGUGAAAUCUCCGGGCUUAACUCGGAAAGGUCAACUGAUACUGUGCGGCUAGAGUGCAGAAGGGGCAACUGGAAUUCUCGGUGUAGCGGUGAAAUGCGUAGAUAUCGAGAGGAACACCUGCGGCGAAGGCGGGUUGCUGGGCUGACACUGACGCUGAUGCGCGAAAGCCAGGGGUGCGAACGGG